rnacentral:rRNA from 1 species
AUUGAACGCUGGCGGCAUGCCUUACACAUGCAAGUCGAACGGCAGCGGGGACUUCGGUCCGCCGGCGAGUGGCGAACGGGUGAGUAACGUAUCGGAACGUACCUUUCAGUGGGGGAUAACGUAGCGAAAGUUACGCUAAUACCGCAUAUUCUGUGAGCAGGAAAGCAGGGGAUCGCAAGACCUUGCGCUGAUUGAGCGGCCGAUAUCAGAUUAGCUAGUUGGUGAGGUAAAGGCUCACCAAGGCGACGAUCUGUAGCGGGUCUGAGAGGAUGAUCCGCCACACUGGAACUGAGACACGGUCCAGACUCCUACGGGAGGCAGCAGUGGGGAAUUUUGGACAAUGGGCGCAAGCCUGAUCCAGCCAUGCCGCGUGAGUGAAGAAGGA